rnacentral:sRNA from 1 species
UUGGGGCCAGGCGGCAACUAAAUGCCACGCUGAUCCCAGGAGAUAGACAACUGAGGUUUUUCACAGAAGUCUAUUUAGAAGCCUGCGACGGACUGGCCUGCCAGCGUCUCCACUUACCUCAGGCAAAGCACUGGUGGCUCCAUCAGAUCGGGUCGAGUCCUCAGAAAACACAGUUACGAACUGGAUGAAACAUAUGAGUUUGGAGAUAUGCCAAGCAUGUUUGGGAUCACACAUCAGUUGGCGGAUAAAGAUCCUCACUGUAUUUAGUGGCAGACGCCUUCUGAAGACAGACACCUCGUCGGCUACAGAGACGACGCCUUGCCAGCCACCCUAGUCCCCGAUGGCUGGUUAUCGCACCGCGAGCAGUUCAAUUUCCUCUGGGUAUCUGUUUCCUUCUAUAAAACACUGGCAGGGUUGCUGUCAGACAGCCCGUCUAGUGGAGACUGCAGCCACCAGUAUGCUUUGCACGGGCCACUGAAGAGUCAUAAGAUGGUGACAACUUUGGGUCUUUAGUGACCUGGACUGGAUUCGACUCACUGACCUAGAGGUGAAAGGCUCUGUAUUUCAUUACUAAUCCCUUGAGCCAUCCAGCCCCCUGAAAAUGAUUCUUUGGUUUUUAUUACUGCAAAGACCAUUUAUAAAAUCAUGGACUGGAUUUAGGAAAGCAACCAUGAAAUAGCAAGGGACAACAAAUUGAUUGAAAUUUCUUAAAUGUUAUGUGAGCUGGAGACUCUCAGACUGGAGGAACGGGAAAAAGUUCUAUCUCCUUUCUUACUUCAGGGGUGCGACCUGCUCACUUAGACGUGGCGACUUCAAAUCCACUGACCAUGCCUCAGGGAACCGAUUCCUAAAUAAAGAAGACGGAAAAGCAAGCUACGAAACAGCCAAUAAUCUUUAUUUUGUACUUCCCCCAUCCUUCGUCUUCUCCAAAAAGCACUAAUGGGUAUUCUUUGUGCAUGUGAAAAUAUUGUAUAAAGUAUUUAGAAUGAUCUCUAGUGAAUGAAAAAGAAAAGAGACACAUAUCUCGACAUAGAUACUUUUUGGGGGGCAGGGGUGACGAAAACUUCUGGCUUCUAGAACAAGGAGGGGAGUGACUUCCACACUCUUCGCAGGUUGACUCCGUUACCACUGUUCUGCAAUUUAACAUCAAGGCAGAGAACCACAUUUCUGAAACCACAUUAUAUGUUUUAAAAUAGGAGUGACUAUAAUACUAAUGUCAAUUGAGUUGGCAGUAAAAAAAAAAUCACAUUUCUACUCAUAUAUUUGUAUUAGGUUCAAAUUCCGAGUUCUAACAUUCAAGAUCGCCUUCACACAUGCCCAGAUUGGGAUUAUUUCAAAAUCAAGUAAAGGUCCAUAGUUAUUUCAAAGCCACUAAAAUAUGCUAAUAAAGUUAAAUUUGAUGCUUUUUUUUACAUUAAAAAUAAAACAUUUGGUUUAUGUUUCAGAUAUCUAUAACAUAUAAUAAAUAGUGGGCAGUAUAGCAAUAUAAUAAAGUUUUGUGAUACCCUGAAAUUUGAUGAGUUUUCUUAAAAAAAUCCAUAAUAUACUUCAUUUCAACCUUAAAG